rnacentral:lncRNA from 1 species
CAGACUGCUGUGCUAGUAAUUAGCGAGACUGCGAGGGCGUAGGACCCUCUGAGCCAGGUGCCAGAUAUAAUCUCGUGGUGCGCCGUGUUUUAAGCCGGUCGGAAAAGCGCAGUAUUCGGGUGGGAGUGACCCGAUUUUCCAGGUGCCAUCUGUCACCACUUUCUUUGACUAGGAAAGGGAACUCCCUGACCCCUUGGGCUUCCCGAGAGAGGGAAUGCCUCGCCCUGCUUCGGCUGGCGCACGGUGCGCGCAUUCACUGACCUGCGCCCACUGUCUGGCACUCCCUAGUGAGAUGAACCCGGUACUUCAGAUGGAAAUGCAGAAAUCACCGGUCUUCUGCGUUGCUCACGCUGGGAGCUGUAGACCGGAGCUGUUCCUAUUUGGCCAUCUUGGCUCCUCCCCCUAUUUUAUUAAUGUUUUGUAGUUUUCAGUGUACAGGUUUUUUACCUCCUUGGAUAAAUUUACUUAAAUUAACCCAAGAUGGAUUGAAGACUUAAACUUUAAACCACAGAAAUUCUAGAAGAAAAUCUAGAAAAAACACUUCUGGACAUUGCCACAGGCAAAGAAUUUAUAACGAAGUCCCCAAAAGCAAAUGCAACAAAAACAGCAAUAAAUAAAU